CCGCACGCGUGCUACACUGACACAUACAACGAGUAUCACCAGCUCCGUGAGGCAGCUGGUAACCAGUAACAUGCGUCGUGCUGGGGAUAGAUCUUUGGAAUUUUUGAUCUUGAACGAGGAAUGCCUAGUAAGCGCAGGUCAUCAGCCUGCGUUGAUUAAGUCCCUGCCCUUUGUACACACCGCCCGU
rnacentral:rRNA from 1 species